AACGAACGCUGGCGGCAUGCCUAACACAUGCAAGUCGAACGAUACCUUCUGGUAUUUUUACGCACUGGUUCGUAACCCAUGGGAACCUUCCCUUAGGUUCGGACUACCUUCCCGAAAGGGGUGCUAAUUCCGGAUAAUGUCUUCGACCCAAUGAUUUCUCGCCUUUGGAUGGGUCCGCUUUGAAUUAGCUAGUUGGUAGGGUAAAAGCCUUCCAAGGCGGCGUUCCAUAGUUGGUCUGAGAGAAUGAUCAGCAACACUGGGACUGAGACACGGCCGAGACUCCUACGGGAGGGAGCAGUGGGGAAUAUUGGAAAAUGGGCGAAAGGCUGAACCAUCAAUGCCGGGUGAGUGAUGAAGGCAUUAGGGUUGGAAAGCGAUUGUACAAGGGAUAAUAAUGACAGUACCGGGAGAAGAAGCUCAGGCUAACUCAGUG
rnacentral:rRNA from 1 species